GACGAACGCUGGCGGCGUGCUUAACACAUGCAAGUCGAACGGAAAGGCCCUGCUUUUGUGGGGUGCUCGAGUGGCGAACGGGUGAGUAACACGUGAGUAACCUGCCCUUGACUUUGGGAUAACUUCAGGAAACUGGGGCUAAUACCGGAUAGGAGCUCCUGCUGCAUGGUGGGGGUUGGAAAGUUUCGGCGGUUGGGGAUGGACUCGCGGCUUAUCAGCUUGUUGGUGGGGUAGUGGCUUACCAAGGCUUUGACGGGUAGCCGGCCUGAGAGGGUGACCGGCCACAUUGGGACUCAGAUACGGCCCGGACUCCUACGCGAGGCAGCAGUGGGGAAUAUUGCACUAUGGGCGGAAGCCUGAAGCAGCAACGCCGCGUGCGGGAUGACGGCCUUCGGGUUGUAAACCGCUUUCGCCUGUGACGAAGCGUGAGUGACGGUAAUGGGUAAAGAAGCACCGGCUAACUACGUG
rnacentral:rRNA from 1 species